rnacentral:tRNA from 1 species
GCGACCGUAGUCUAGUGGUUAGGAUUUUGGCCUUCCAAGCCAACGACCCGGGUUCAAAUCCCGGCGGUCGCA